CUAGGGACCGAGCGUUGUCCGGAUUCAUUUGGGCGUUAAAGAGCUCGUAGGCGGCUGCUCAAGUCGAAUGUGAAAACUCGAGGCUCAACCUCGAGCCUGCAUUCGAUACUGGGCGGCUAGAGUCUGGUAGGGGGAUCUGGAAUUCCUGGUGUAGCGGUGGAAUGCGCAGAUAUCAGGAGGAACACCGGUGGCGAAGGCGGGAUCCUGGGCCAGUACUGACGCUGAGGAGCGAAAGCGUGGGGAGCAAACAGGAUUAGAUACCCUGGUAGUCCACGCCGUAAACGAUGGGCGCUAGGUGUGGGAGGUCAUCGACUCCUUCCGUGCCGCAGCUAACGCAUUAAGCGCCCCGCCUGGGGAGUACGGCCGCAAGGCUA
rnacentral:rRNA from 1 species